rnacentral:rRNA from 1 species
GAUUAAGUUAUUAAGGGCGCACGGUGGAUGCCUUGGCACUAGAAGCCGAUGAAGGACGUUACUAACGACGAUAUGCUUUGGGGAGCUGUAAGUAAGCUUUGAUCCAGAGAUUUCCGAAUGGGGAAACCCAGCAUGAGUUAUGUCAUGUUAUCGAUAUGUGAAUACAUAGCAUAUCAGAAGGCACACCCGGAGAACUGAAACAUCUUAGUACCCGGAGGAAGAGAAAGAAAAUUCGAUUCCCUUAGUAGCGGCGAGCGAAACGGGAAGAGCCCAAACCAACAAGCUUGCUUGUUGGGGUUGUAGGACACUCUAUACGGAGUUACAAAGGACGACAUUAGACGAAUCAUCUGGAAAGAUGAAUCAAAGAAGGUAAUAAUCCUGUAGUCGAAAAUGUUGUCUCUCUUGAGUGGAUCCUGAGUACGACGGAGCACGUGAAAUUCCGUCGGAAUCUGGGAGGACCAUCUCCUAAGGCUAAAUACUCUCUAGUGACCGAUAGUGAACCAGUACCGUGAGGGAAAGGUGAAAAGCACCCCGGAAGGGGAGUGAAAUAGAACCUGAAACCGUGUGCUUACAAGUAGUCAGAGCCCGUUAAUGGGUGAUGGCGUGCCUUUUGUAGAAUGAACCGGCGAGUUACGAUUUGAUGCAAGGUUAAGCAGUAAAUGUGGAGCCGUAGCGAAAGCGAGUCUGAAUAGGGCGUUUAGUAUUUGGUCGUAGACCCGAAACCAGGUGAUCUACCCUUGGUCAGGUUGAAGUUCAGGUAACACUGAAUGGAGGACCGAACCGACUUACGUUGAAAAGUGAGCGGAUGAACUGAGGGUAGCGGAGAAAUUCCAAUCGAACCUGGAGAUAGCUGGUUCUCUCCGAAAUAGCUUUAGGGCUAGCCUCAAGUGAUGAUUAUUGGAGGUAGAGCACUGUUUGGACGAGGGGCCCCUCUCGGGUUACCGAAUUCAGACAAACUCCGAAUGCCAAUUAAUUUAACUUGGGAGUCAGAACAUGGGUGAUAAGGUCCGUGUUCGAAAGGGAAACAGCCCAGACCACCAGCUAAGGUCCCAAAAUAUAUGUUAAGUGGAAAAGGAUGUGGCGUUGCCCAGACAACUAGGAUGUUGGCUUAGAAGCAGCCAUCAUUUAAAGAGUGCGUAAUAGCUCACUAGUCGAGUGACACUGCGCCGAAAAUGUACCGGGGCUAAACAUAUUACCGAAGCUGUGGAUUGUCCUUUGGACAAUGGUAGGAGAGCGUUCUAAGGGCGUUGAAGCAUGAUCGUAAGGACAUGUGGAGCGCUUAGAAGUGAGAAUGCCGGUGUGAGUAGCGAAAGACGGGUGAGAAUCCCGUCCACCGAUUGACUAAGGUUUCCAGAGGAAGGCUCGUCCGCUCUGGGUUAGUCGGGUCCUAAGCUGAGGCCGACAGGCGUAGGCGAUGGAUAACAGGUUGAUAUUCCUGUACCACCUAUAAUCGUUUUAAUCGAUGGGGGGACGCAGUAGGAUAGGCGAAGCGUGCGAUUGGAUUGCACGUCUAAGCAGUAAGGCUGAGUAUUAGGCAAAUCCGGUACUCGUUAAGGCUGAGCUGUGAUGGGGAGAAGACAUUGUGUCUUCGAGUCGUUGAUUUCACACUGCCGAGAAAAGCCUCUAGAUAGAAAAUAGGUGCCCGUACCGCAAACCGACACAGGUAGUCAAGAUGAGAAUUCUAAGGUGAGCGAGCGAACUCUCGUUAAGGAACUCGGCAAAAUGACCCCGUAACUUCGGGAGAAGGGGUGCUCUUUAGGGUUAACGCCCAGAAGAGCCGCAGUGAAUAGGCCCAAGCGACUGUUUAUCAAAAACACAGGUCUCUGCUAAACCGUAAGGUGAUGUAUAGGGGCUGACGCCUGCCCGGUGCUGGAAGGUUAAGAGGAGUGGUUAGCUUCUGCGAAGCUACGAAUCGAAGCCCCAGUAAACGGCGGCCGUAACUAUAACGGUCCUAAGGUAGCGAAAUUCCUUGUCGGGUAAGUUCCGACCCGCACGAAAGGCGUAACGAUUUGGGCACUGUCUCAACGAGAGACUCGGUGAAAUCAUAGUACCUGUGAAGAUGCAGGUUACCCGCGACAGGACGGAAAGACCCCGUGGAGCUUUACUGUAGCCUGAUAUUGAAAUUCGGCACAGCUUGUACAGGAUAGGUAGGAGCCUUUGAAACGUGAGCGCUAGCUUACGUGGAGGCGCUGGUGGGAUACUACCCUAGCUGUGUUGGCUUUCUAACCCGCACCACUUAUCGUGGUGGGAGACAGUGUCAGGCGGGCAGUUUGACUGGGGCGGUCGCCUCCUAAAAGGUAACGGAGGCGCUCAAAGGUUCCCUCAGAAUGGUUGGAAAUCAUUCAUAGAGUGUAAAGGCAUAAGGGAGCUUGACUGCGAGACCUACAAGUCGAGCAG